rnacentral:rRNA from 1 species
ACCUUCGGGCCUCUUGCCAUCAGAUGUGCCCAGAUGGGAUUAGCUUGUUGGUGAGGUAACGGCUCACCAAGGCGACGAUCCCUAGCUGGUCUGAGAGGAUGACCAGCCACACUGGAACUGAGACACGGUCCAGACUCCUACGGGAGGCAGCAGUGGGGAAUAUUGCACAAUGGGCGCAAGCCUGAUGCAGCCAUGCCGCGUGUAUGAAGAAGGCCUUCGGGUUGUAAAGUACUUUCAGCGGGGAGGAAGGUGUUGUGGUUAAUAACCGCAGCAAUUGACGUUACCCGCAGAAGAAGCACCGGCUAACUCCGUGCCAGCAGCCGCGGUAAUACGGAGGGUGCAAGCGUUAAUCGGAAUUACUGGGCGUAAAGCGCACGCAGGCGGUCUGUCAAGUCGGA